GACACGUACAACACCCUCAAAUAUGCCGACCGGGCCAAGGAGAUCAGGCUCUCGUUGAAGAGCAAUGUGACCAGCCUGGACUGUCACAUCAGCCAGUAUGCUACCAUCUGCCAACAGCUCCAGGCUGAGGUAGCCGCUCUGAGGAAGAAGCUCCAAAUAUAUGAGGGGGGAGGCCAGCCCCCACCACAAGACCUCCCAGGAUCUCCCAAGUCGGGACCACCACCACAACAGUGAGUUCCACUGCCCUGCAACUCAGCCGGGAUGGGGAGCCAGGCCCUCUUCUCCAGUUUCUGGAGGACUAGGACUCCUUGCUUCUGCUCCAAUCCCUAGGGUUAAGGGUUUGCACCCAGUGCCCGUCCAGCAACUGAUUGUCACCUAGAGUGCUGUGUCCAAUGAGUAAAUAGCACCCCAGCCCGUAAGAGCAGUGCCUACUAUUCGAGAGAAGGUGAACUUAGGGGUGUGUGUCAUUGUCUCUCAAACCAGAAAAUCCCUGACUCCUCCUACCCUCAGCUACUGCCCAUUUGUCACCUAAGCGUCUGUCCCUUAUGGACUCUAUACGACCUGG
rnacentral:sRNA from 1 species